rnacentral:tRNA from 1 species
GUGCCUGUUGCGCAGUGGUCAGCGCAGCUCCCCGGGAGCAUGGGACACUGGUUCGAUUCCAGCCGGGCACACCA